AUGAGGGCCCCCCCGGAAGGGAGGGCGGUGGUCCCGGGCGGCACACCUGUCCCUCGGUGGCGCCCCGCCCGCGCCCCCCGCCCGGCUCGAGCUGGAAAUGACAACUACAACCGGAGCGGCGCUCAGGCGCCCACGACACAGCCAUUCAUGCUGCGGGUACACAUUCCCCUUAAUUGCCAAGGCUCCCAAUUAACGUGGGUUGCCGUGUCUGGUGCUGGGCUGCCUCCCGGUCCCCCCCGGUCUACUAUUUCCGAGAGAGACACCAGCUCUGUCGCUGUGUGCGUCGCGCUGCCUCCCCGCCCUCCGCCGAGGAAACCCCCGGGCGGGCGGCAGGUGCUGCCCCCCCACCCCCCGGCCGCAGCCUCCUGUUGCGCGCGCGGCCCGCCCCCCCGGGCGCCCUCCGCCACCCGCACCCGCACCCGCACCCGCCGCCGCAGCCGCAGCGGGGCCGCCGCGCGCCUCGAUGCCCCCGCCCCCCGCCCGGCCGGGCCCCGCCCCCUCGCGCCCCAGCCCUGCGCAGGAGGGAGGCGGGAAGCCCGCGAGAGCCUCGCCCACCGCCCCGCCCCCGCCGCGCCGCGCCCGGCUGCUCGGACCGCGCGUCCUCCGGGAUCGUCUCCGACGCCCCGCGCUGUGCAGGUGAGCGGCGGGCGGCGCGGGAGGCAAAGUUGGGCUCCUCGUCCUCGUCCUCUCCUCCUCGGAGGGCGGGAGGCCCCGGGCGGGGGCCGAUCGCGGCCGGGAGUUGCGGGUCGGGGGUGUGAGCGGCCCUCGCGGGGCGCCGGGGAUGCGCGGGGGCGGGGGCCGCGGCGGUGGGCGUCGGAAGCGGAGCGCGGCCUCUGCGGGGAGGCCCGGGGCGAGGCGGGGGGGGGGCGAGCUGGGGCCCCGCGGAGCCCUGGCUGCUGCCCGCAGCGGGGCUACGGCGUCUUGGAGAAGGCGAAGGGGCAGCUCCCACCGGGGUCCGGCGGGAGCUUCCCCUUUGUUACUGGGAGGCUGUGGACACUUGAGCGCAGCCCGGGCGUGUGA
rnacentral:lncRNA from 1 species